rnacentral:rRNA from 1 species
UACGAAGGGUGCAAGCGUUAAUCGGAAUUACUGGGCGUAAAGGGUGCGUAGGCGGUUGUUUAAGUCUGUCGUGAAAUCCCCGGGCUCAACCUGGGAAUGGCAAUGGAUACUGGCAGGCUAGAGUGCGGUAGAGGGUAGUGGAAUUCCCGGUGUAGCGGUGAAAUGCGUAGAGAUCGGGAGGAACACCGGUGGCGAAGGCGGUUCUCUGGGCCUGUACUGACGCUGAGGAGCGAAAGCGUGGGGAGCAAACAGG